CUGGCACGUAGGCAGCAGCCCAAGAGGGCUGAUGCUUACACUUUGCCGUUUCUUUUCCCUGUCCCUGUGCCAGGACCCAUGCAUCUGAGCUCCUGCCAGCCAGACGUGCGCUGUCUCCCCUCCAGGGAUGGAGGUGCCCUGGUGGGGGCAGAGGUGUGCUGUGGGAAGAUUAACCCUGAGCUAACAUCUGCCACCAAUCCUCCUCUUUUUGCUGAGGAAGACUGGCCCUGAGCUAACAUCUGUGCCCAUCUUCUUCUACUUUAUAUGUGGGACGCCUACCACAGCAUGGCUUGUCAAGCGGUGCCAUGUCCACACCCGGGAUCUGAACUGGCAAACCCCGGGCUGCCAAAGAGGAACGUGCGCACUUAACUGCUGCGCCACUGGGCCGGCCCUGUGAUUAUUUACUAUGUAUGUUGUGGGAACAUACUCAAAUUUUGUACUGAUGGGCUAUAUGACUGAAAAGAUUGGAGCCCACUGUUUUAUAACCUUCUUGCAUGUACAUUUUCCUAUUUGGAAAACUGUAAGUUAUCUGCUGUAUAAUGCUGAGAAAACAUGGAGUUGCUCUAAUCGCCUGUAGCACUUGGUUUCAGUAGCAAUCUUUGUUUCCAGCCACGUACUUUGGCUGUAGGCAGCAGAGACUGACUCCAGCGAACUUUAGCAAAAUGGAAGAAAAGCUAAAACUCCAGACUUGAGAGGGACUGGUAGUGGGGCAUUCUCAGCUGGAGGAAUCCACUCCUUCCAACUCCUUCCAACUUCUGCGUAACCUGCUCUGUAGUCAGACUCCCUGCGAAGCAUCUGAUUGGCUCAGGGUGAGCCAUAUGCUCCUUCCUUGGACUGGGGGACGUUGAGGGAAAGAAAUCACAGGCCUGUAGCCAAUGGAGCUUUGGCCAAGGGUGGCUUCCCAGAGCAAAACUGAGAUGCUAUUAUCAGAGGAAGGCGGGCUGGGACUGGGCGUCCACAAAUGACCUGCAUCCACUGCUGGCAGUUUGUGCUCAGGAGGCCCCAUUAAGGCUUCCGUGUCCGCAGCUCCUUUGGAGGCAAGUGGGGCUCCAGCCUCACGCCAUGUUGUUCAAGUACCCAGGCCACAGCUCACUGACCAAGGCCCAGGGUCUGAUCCAAGCCACCAUCAUGGCCCACCCGGAUUGUUGUAGGAGCCUCCUCGCUGGCCUCCCUGCUUCCAUCCUCAUCCUCCGACAGGCCCUCCUUGAUAUGCUGCCUGCUUCCCUCUGAUGCCAGUCUCCUGCCUGACCACCACACUCCAGCUACAACAGCCCUGUUUGUUU
rnacentral:lncRNA from 1 species